rnacentral:lncRNA from 1 species
GGGGAAACAGCCCAAUGAGCAUCACCGCAGAGGAGCCAAUCAGUUGGCAGCUAGAAGUUUGCUGGGGCGCUGUGAGCCAAUCAUCAGCUGGCAGCUGGAAGUUUGCUGGGGCCCCUUCAGCUGUGGCUCUCAACAUCUCCCCCUCUCUGUUUAAACAACAAGCAUGUGGCUUAGAGACCGUGCCUGCCUUAGGUUGUCCAAUACUACAUAUGAUCCUUACCCAUCCUCGGAUGAGCUGACCUCAAGGCAUCAGCCUCCUGUCUUAGGUUGGUACCAUUGCAAUUGGAUCUUACCCGUCAUUGACUACCGGUCCAGCAUACAGUGACACCUGUGGAUAGGUCUUUGUACCAGCGGGGGGGUGAGGUUCUUUGCCUCACCUCUGUUGGCCCCCAAAUUUUAGCUUUUAACUGAACGCCAUCACAAGCAGAAGGGAGGAAGAUACACCAAGUCAAUUGAUGGCUCCUUUUUGGAAAAAUUGUACCACCAAUGACACCAUCAGCAAAAAUACCCCAACACUACCACAAGUCGCUGCACCAACAGAUAGUUCACAAUGCAUACAAGUGAGUUCACAAUGCAUACAAGUGAUACAUGGUCUAGGCAAGUUCUGCAAGCAGUUCAGUGAUAGCUAUUGCAGAAGCUGUAGAUUGGUUUUAUCGUUGUCUUCACCGGCACUGGGAUGAAGAUAGAAAUUCUGGCAAUAAUGGCUAAAGAAAAAAUUAUGUAACAUUCCAGAAGGCACUAAAAGAAAACAAUUUUCUGAACAAUUUACAUUAUCUUGAACAGAAUUAUUAAAUAUAAUGAAAAGGAAAGGUGAAAGUAAACAGAUCUGUUAACCUCCUUUUUAGUUCACAUAUUGAAACAAUCCUCAACAGCUGUUUACCCAAUUUAAAUUAAACCAUUUAAAUCACAUGAAUAAAAAAAAAUAUUUGGAUCCAUUUUUUCAUGAGCGCUCAUCAUAUAUGAUAUAUGGACAUACGUACAUACAAACAUACAACACAAAACACAAGUGUGCACACAUAAUACAUACAACACAUAACAGUAAAGGCCUUAUAACUUUUUACAGGUGAAAUCUUCAUUGCAAUGUUUAAAAACUCUAUAGUCAAAAAUAGAACUGAUCAGCAAAACAUUAACCUAGGUCUGCAUGAGCUCAAAAAAACAAAAUAGAACUUCAUGAUGUGGGAAAGGGCAGGAAUAAAAUAGAUAUUGAAAAAAGCAUUCUGGUUCUGUUGCAGAUGUAAGGGUAGCCAAACUGGAGUUCUGGAUAUCAGCUGUUAUGGAUUUGAGCCAAAUCAUCAUCUUUUUGGUCUAUAGAAAUCACUUUAGUUAAUCUCUCUGGAAUCCAAAUCGGCUGCUGUUCUUUCUCCCUGUGGAAACACACAAACAGACCCCCGACUACAGACAAUUACUGGGUCAGGACCUUUCCAUUGUCCUGUUAGAAUAUCUUUCCAAAGUACCUUGGGCUUAUGUACAUUUUUUGGACACAUAUGCCUUUCCGCAGCACUAAGUCCUGAUGAAUCUAAAUUUAAAAAGUUUAGAGUAAAAAGGGUUAUUUUAAGUUUAUCUUUGGGGAAUAUAUACCCCUUCCCAAUUCCCUCUUUUUGCUUUAAUAAGUACAUUUUAAUAGUUUGAUGAGCUCUUUCAACUAUGCCUUGUCCCUGUGGAUUGUAUGGGAUUCCUGUUACAUGAGUAAUGCCAAAUGAUGAGCAAAAUUGUUUAAAAGAGGUAGAAGUAUAACCAGGGGCAUUAUCUGUUUUUAACUAUUUUGGAAUGCCCACAGUGGCAAAAUUUUGUAAGCAGUGAGCUAUAAUAUCUUUAGUUUUUUCUCCGACAUGAAGGGAGCCCAUCAAAAAUCCGGAAAAAGUAUCAACUGUAACAUGCAAAUAUUUUAAUUUUCCAAAUUCUGGCAAGUGUGUGACGUCCAUCUGCCAAAUAUGGUUAGGUAUCAGUCCUUUAGGAUCGACUCCAAGAUUAACUUGUGGUAAAACGGUCACUGCUGAUCCUCAUAAGGUCCCUUUCCUAAAAACAUAUCUAGAUUUCUCUGAGGAUAACCAUCUGAUGCAUUCCGCCUAGCCGUCUCCUUGCAAAAUUCCU